rnacentral:rRNA from 1 species
UACGUAGGGGGCAAGCGUUGUCCGGAUUUAUUGGGCGUAAAGAGCGUGUAGGCGGCCAGACAGGUCCGUUGUGAAAACUGGAGGCUCAACCUCCAGACGUCGAUGGAAACCGUCUGGCUAGAGUCCGGAAGAGGAGAGUGGAAUUCACGGUGUAGCAGUGAAAUGCGUAGAUAUCGUGAGGAAGACCAGUGGCGAAGGCGGAUCUCUGGAGAGUUCCUGACGCUGAGGCACGAAGGCCAGGGGAGCAAACGGG